rnacentral:lncRNA from 1 species
CAAACUUUUAUUUGAACUAUUUUUUGAUAUAUUAACUUGAGCUUGGUGCCAUGAUAACCUAUCGCUCUAUUUCAAUAGCUCACUAAGAACUUGUGCUUUUGUCUUCUUCAAUUCUUUGAUAUGAAAAGUUUGACCAAUUGGGGAGAUACACUGAGCGAGGCUUGUACAAGAGAUGAAGGUAAAGUUUUCCACACUGAUGCAUUCCCAGCUAACUUCCCAAAUAUUGGCCUGCAUGCAAAACAUAAUAUGAAAAAUAAUGAGAAAACGACUGAGUGACUUCGGGACUUUUUGUAUAUUAGAUUAGAUUAUGGAUCCGUUUAACAUGACUUUUGAAAAGUCGAUAGGAACUUUAAUCA